rnacentral:rRNA from 1 species
GAUGAACGCUGGCGGCGUGCCUAAUACAUGCAAGUCGAGCGAACAGACGAGGAGCUUGCUCCUCUGACGUUAGCGGCGGACGGGUGAGUAACACGUGUAUAACCUACCUAUAAGACUGGGAUAACUUCGGGAAACCGGAGCUAAUACCGGAUAAUAUCUUGAACCGCAUGGUGCAAUAGUGAAAGACGGUGUUGCUGUCACUUAUAGCUGGAUCCGGGCCGUAUUGGCUAGUUGGUAAGUUCACGGCUUACCAAGGCGACCAUGCGUAGGCGAAGUGAGAGGGUGAUAGGCCGCACGGGAACUGAGACGCGGACCAGGCGCCUACGAGAGGCCGCAGAAGGGAAUCUGACGCAAUGGGCGGAAGCCUGGCGGAGCAACCGGAAGUGAGAGGUGAAGGCGUUCGGAUCGGAAUGCUCUGUUAUGAGGUAUGAACAACUGUGUAAUUAACUAAGCACGUAGUGACGGUACCUAGUCAGAAAGCAACGGCUAACUACGUG